UACGGGAGGCAGCAGUGGGGAAUCUUGCGCAAUGGGCGAAAGCCUGACGCAGCCAUGCCGCGUGAAUGAUGAAGGUCUUAGGAUUGUAAAAUUCUUUCACCGGGGACGAUAAUGACGGUACCCGGAGAAGAAGCCCCGGCUAACUUCGUGCCAGCAGCCGCGGUAAUACGAAGGGGCUAGCGUUGCUCGGAAUUACUGGGCGUAAAGGGAGCGUAGGCGGACAUUUAAGUCAGGGGUGAAAUCCCGGGGCUCAACCUCGGAAUUGCCUUUUGAUACUGGGUGUCUUGAGUAUGAGAGAGGUGUGUGGAACUCCGAGUGUAGAGGUGAAAUUCGUAGAUAUUCGGAAGAACACCAGUGGCGAAGGCGACACACUGGCUCAUUACUGACGCUGAGGCUCGAAAGCGUGGGGAGCAAACAGGGAUUAGAUACC
rnacentral:rRNA from 1 species